GACGAACGCUGGCGGCGUGCUUAACACAUGCAAGUCGAACGGAAAGGCCCUGCUUUUGUGGGGUGCUCGAGUGGCGAACGGGUGAGUAACACGUGAGUAACCUGCCCUUGACUUUGGGGAUAACUUCAGGAAACUGGGGCUAAUACCGGAUAGGAGCUCCUGCUGCAUGGUGGGGGUUGGAAAGUUUCGGCGGUUGGGGAUGGACUCGCGGCUUAUCAGCUUGUUGGUGGGGUAGUGGCUUACCAAGGCUUUGACGGGUAGCCGGCCUGAGAGGGUGACCGGCCACAUUGGGACUGAGAUACGGCCCAGACUCCUACGGGAGGCAGCAGUGGGGAAUAUUGCACAAUGGGCGGAAGCCUGAUGCAGCAACGCCGCGUGCGGGGUGACGGCCUUCGGGUUGUAAACCGCUUUCGCCUGUGACGAAGCGUGAGUGACGGUAAUGGGUAAAGAAGCACCGGCUAACUACGUG
rnacentral:rRNA from 1 species